rnacentral:rRNA from 1 species
UACAGAGGGUGCAAGCGUUAAUCGGAGUUACUGGGCGUAAAGGGCGCGUAGGCGGUUAGAUAAGUGAGAGGUGAAAUCCCUGGGCUUAACCUAGGAAUGGCCUCUCAUACUGUUUAUCUAGAGUACAGUAGAGGGUAGCGGAAUUUCCGGUGUAGCGGUGAAAUGCGUAGAUAUAGGAAGGAAUACCAGUGGCGAAGGCGGCCUCCUGGAUCGAUACUGACGCUGAGGCGCGAAAGCGUGGGGAGCAAACAGG